GGAAACCAAAGUCGAGUUCCCUUCCUUCCGUUAGGUUGUCGAUUUAAUGAAGUAAACCCCCCACCCCUAAUUCUUUUGGUCGACAUUUCUCCAAACCCCAAAGAAACCCAUUUCACCAAAAACCCCAAUAUGUUUCUCUCUCUCGUGUCUUGCUCGAUGCUCCACCGAUGAACGAUCGCUGGAUUUGCCACCGCUUUACCAGUUCUGUCUCUCGCCGGAGUUUUCCUAUCUCGCUAGCGUCCUAAGCUCACCGGAGUCGCGCGAUUCUGCAGCGGUUUGCUUCUCUCUUCUUCUCCGUUCUGUGUGUGACCCUGUUGAUGUGGUGGUUGUUGCUUGCGCCAUCGUAGGGUGGUGUUACGGUUGACGCCAUUCACGGUCGCUCUUUUUCUCCCUUUCCUUGUUCAUUGGUGAUGCUGGGUCCACCACCACUACCUCCUUCUCUUCCCCUGCUUCUCUCUCUUCGCCAGUGUUGUUGAUGUGCGGUGGUCGCCACCCCGUGAUGGUUGAUGCUACUAGUUUCUCCUCUUCCUUCUUUGUAUUGCUACCCAGAUGGUGCUAAUCUAAGCUUCCUUUGCUCUUUUCUCUAUUACUAGAGUUGAUUAGUUUGAAUUGAAAGUUCUAUGUAUGAAAUUAUGUUGUUGAUUAAAUUAUUUGUGCAUUAUUUGGGAAGAAUUAGUUUAUGAUAUAGUAUCUAAUUGGUAUUGUGGCUGUUGUCGUUCUCGAUCGUUGUUGCUAUCAUGUUGUUGUUUUGUUGUUGUGGUGUUGUUGUUGUUGUUAUUGUUGGUGGUGGUGAUGCGUUGUUGUUGUUGUGCUGUUAUUGAUGAUGCAUUGUGGUGGGUGGUGUAGAAUUAGUUUAGGGAAUUUAGUAAUAUGUGAUUGGAAUUAAGAUCGUGAAAGAUUUUCAUAUUGGGAAUUGGUUCUGGUUCCAUUUCCUAGUUGAGAUUAGUUUAGAAUAAUUGUCAAAUAUUAUUGUUGAUGAGGAUGGAGAGUAAUUAGUUCAAUUAGAAAAGAGUUAGAUGAGUUUCACAUUUAUCGAGCAAUUUAUCAACUAUUAUCGUUGUUGUAAGGUGGAUUGUGAUUUCGGAGUUGGUGAUCAAAUUGCCAAUCGUCUUGGCAGCUUAUCAUUAAGGAAUCAGUUUGUGUAUAAGGUUUGGUGUCAAGAGCUCGGAAUGGAAGUGGAGCUAGCAAGAAUAAAAUUCUAUUUUAUUCGGGAUUGAGUUUGUAUUUUAGAUAGCAGAUUCAAGAUUAGUUUUCGAUAUUUCAUUGUAUAUCAUUUUUGGGAAUUUAGUUCAAUCAUUGGUGUAUUUAAGGAUAUUUUCCGUUGCGAAGUAAUUUAUUUAAGAGUUAAUCAUUAUUUAUGGA